GAUGAACGCUAGCUACAGGCUUAACACAUGCAAGUCGCGGGGCAGCAUGGGGGUUGCUUGCAAUCCCCGAUGGCGACCGGCGCACGGGUGAGUAACGCGUAUCCAACCUGCCCUUCACCACGGGAUAACCCGGCGAAAGUCGGACUAAUACCGUAUGUUGUCCAUUGACGGCAUCCGAUUUGGACGAAAGGCUUGGCGGUGAGGGAUGGGGAUGCGUCCGAUUAGCCAGACGGCGGGGUAACGGCCCAUCGUGGCGACGAUCGGUACGGGUUCUGAGAGGAAGGUCCCCCACACUGGAACUGAGACACGGUCCAGACUCCUACGGGAGGCAGCAGUGAGGAAUAUUGGUCAAUGGGCGUAAGCCUGAACCAGCCAAGUAGCGUGCAGGAUGACGGCCCUAUGGGUUGUAAACUGCUUUUAUGCGGGGAUAAAGUGGCCCACGUGUGGGCUUUUGCAGGUACCGCAUGAAUAAGGACCGGCUAAUUCCGUG
rnacentral:rRNA from 1 species